rnacentral:rRNA from 1 species
UACGUAGGGCGCUAGCGUUAUCCGGAAUUAUUGGGCGUAAAGAGCUCGUAGGCGGUUUGUCGCGUCUGCCGUGAAAGUCCGGGGCUCAACUCCGGAUCUGCGGUGGGUACGGGCAGACUAGAGUGAUGUAGGGGAGACUGGAAUUCCUGGUGUAGCGGUGAAAUGCGCAGAUAUCAGGAGGAACACCGGUGGCGAAGGCAGGUCUCUGGGCAUUAACUGACGCUGAGGAGCGAAAGCAUGGGGAGCGAACAGG